GACGAACGCUGGCGGCGUGCUUAACACAUGCAAGUCGAACGGAAAGGCCCCUUUGGGGGUACUCGAGUGGCGAACGGGUGAGUAACACGUGAGUAACCUGCCCUUGACUUCGGGAUAACUUCAGGAAACUGGGGCUAAUACCGGAUAGGAAUCCUUGCUGCAUGGUGGGGGUUGGAAAGCUUCGGCGGUUUUGGAUGGGCUCGCGGCUUAUCAGCUUGUUGGUGGGGUAGUGGCUUACCAAGGCUUUGACGGGUAGCCGGCCUGAGAGGGCGACCGGCCACAUUGGGACUGGGAUACGGCCCAGACUCCUACGGGAGGCAGCAGUGGGGAAUAUUGCACAAUGGGCGGAAGCCUGAUGCAGCAACGCCGCGUGCGGGAUGACGGCCUUCGGGUUGUAAACCGCUUUCAGCAGGGGCGAAGCUUGUGGUGACGGUACCUGCAGAAGAAGCACCGGCUAACUACGUG
rnacentral:rRNA from 1 species